UAGAUUUUCCAGAAUGGAACUAACUGGAACCCUUCAUUUUGCAGCCGGAGCUCCCUGCCCCUUAGGGGGCAGGGAGCCAGUGAUUCCUGAGGGACCCCUCAUCCCUCCCAGGGUGAACUGUCCUAUGUGACCUCGGAGAACCAACAGCCCAAGCCCAGUUUCCCACCAGGCAUAUGUACAAGGUAUUCAGAGGUGCGGAGCACGGUCCACAAAUCGUAUGGAUGAAAUAGCCGAGCCUCAGGUGUGGCAGAGGUGAUUAAGCGACGGCCGUGAGUGCAGAGGACUAGUUAACUCAUCUCAGAUUGUUUGUUCCAGACUGAAAUCAUGGUAGGAAAUUGUUGUGCAUGUCCUCAGAGGAUACACUUACACAGUAAAUGAAAAAGUGGCUCUACAAGGGAAGAUAGCGGUGGAUGAGACUUCAGACUGCUGAGCUUAGAAAGGGUUAAUGUUUCUUUGGUUGUUGUUCUGGGGGUCUCUGAGCCUCAAGUGUUUCUCUGAAGAUGUGGGUGUCAUCAUAUUAUCUUUGUCACACACUCAGCCCUAUACAUGUUCUGAGAUUCUGACAGCCUGUGACAGCUGCAGGGGGCCUCACUAGCUAGGUCUGAAGCUCGGUAUGCGAGCAAGACACGGGGCGCCUUAGGGAGAAGGGGUCUUCUGAGGAGUUCAGGGUGCCGUGCACUACCUGAGUCAUUUAGCAGUGCUGAUACCAGGACCGUCCAGGUCAGAUUCUGAAGGUGCGUGGUGAUGGUGUAUUCUGCGUGGGAGUCAGACUGUCAGCAGGAGCCCCUUCCCCGGCUCUUUGCCAGCAAGCAGGCUCCGUCCACUGUUGAGACACAGGGGGCUGCUGUGUCUGCAUUUCUCUAGAGGCCUCUGUCCCCUUUGCCAGCAUCUAUCUCAAGUCACAUUCCCUGGGAGUUCUCAUUCCAUACAGUUAAUCCCCUAGAACAUGGGCCAGCGCAUUAGCUUUCUAGCCCUCUUAAGGACCAGAAAGGAAAAUGCUCCCCCGUGGGUACAUUGCAGACACUGAGGGUGGGAGUGCUGGUGAAAUCAUAGCCUGAGGCUCACACCUGCCGGCUGCAUGUCACUGACAGGCUGCACGGGGCUGGGGGUUCAGUGCUGGAGCACAGAAAAUAAAAAUUAAUAAAAAGCAAGAGAAAAAGAUAAACCUUGAGUCCCAGUGUGUCCAAAACUUGCUUUAGGGCACCCGUAACUGACUCAUAAUUUGUCAGUUCAAAAGCUCCUUGCAUUUUUGUUGUUGCUGUUGUUGUUUGUUUAGCCAAUAUAAAACCCCAAACAAAUAAAUUUUAAAAACCUACAGGAAAACCACCACACAAAAUAUUUACUGUAAUUGUACAGGAAAUAUAAUGUUAAUUAAUACGUGGUUGGUAAAAAUCAAAGCAUAUGUAACACUUAGCCCCUCCCUCAACAUAGCCCUUUUCCCCCUCAAAUUAGUCAGCUGCUGUGGUCCUUUUGUGCUCCUGCAUUUUUCUGUACUUUUACAUUUGUCUAUACACACAACUCUACAGUAUAUGACUGUUUCUCUUGUUCACAGGCUGUUUCUGAGCUAGUAUUUUUUUCUUUUGCAUUUUGUAUCAGCUUGUUUUUCUCUCCUGUAGAAUGUGCUUGGCAAUAACAAAGAUCCAUGGCCUUCCUGAUGACACCCAGCACCUCAGAUUCUCAGAUGGCAUACACAGCGGAGUUGAUUUAACCAUCUAACUCCCACCCUGAAAUCUGGGGUUUUAUCCUGCCAGGUAAGCCCCUUCUCUGUUUACUGAGACUGACUUCUGAGACCCUGCUGUGAGAGGGCUGUGUUGCCUGCUGUGUGUUGCUGGUGAGUCUGUGCAUCGCCGAAAUACCUCACAUGCAUUGGCACACGCAUAUGCACAUACGCUCGAGUGCAUUUACACACACACCCUACACUUGUGGGGCAGGAACCCCAUGAUGAAUUUUAAUCGGCACUGCAGCCUGAUAAUGCAUCUUUCAGCUUGCUCCUUGCCCUCUAGUCCUGGGAUGUCGGAAGGGGGAAACGCAGGUGGUGGAGGGGUGGAACAUGCAGGGCUGACGGUGACAUGUUUGUCUUUGAGUCAGCCUUGCCCCUAGGUAUUAAUCACUGGCCCUUUGUGCGGAGGUUGAGGUGGGGUUAGUGCCCUCUAUUUCUUAGUGUGGGAGUAGGCUAUGGAAUCGCAAGUAGCCAUCCUUAGCUCCAAUCCAGCUACAAAGCAGACUGAAGCUGUGUGUCCUUGCCUAGCUCACAAGCGUCUCUGUGCUUUGGUUCCUUCCUUUCACUAAAAAAAAAAAAAAAGAAAGAAAGAAAGAAAGAAAGAAAGAAAGAAAGAAAGAAAGAAAGAAAGAAAGAAAACAGAGAGAGAAAAGAAACGAAAAAAAAUAAAAGAAAUUCCGUAAUCUCUCUCACACAGGCCCAUUGAAAUGUCAAUGAGAAAAUAACUCAAAUAAAUCAUCUGGCCCAGUUCCACAUGCGAGGUACCCAGUAAAACCCCAAGUUUCCCCAGCCCAGCCUGCUCCGUCAAUGUGCCUUCCUUGCCCUCGCUAUUCUAUGCAGCCGUGCCUUUUCAGAGAACUGACAGAAGGGGGGACAAAACCCUCAGAAUGCAUAAAGCAUCCUGGCUCCCCUGCCCAAGCUCUUGAGCCCUUACACACCCUCCCAGGGGACCCCCGUGCUUUACUGGAACACCUGGGGCCAGCCCAGAUGCCCUACUGCUUUUAAUUGGGGUCUCCUGUCAUCUGGUUGAGAGUGUAUCUUAUUUUCAUACAAAUAAAUAGAAGAAGCCAGAUUGCUCCCAGGCAGCAUUUGUAUGCUUCUAUUUCCCUGCCUUUGGCAAAAACGACUCCUGAGAAAUAGAGGUGCUGGUUUUCAGGUGACCCUCCAAAAGCAAGUAUGACUUGCCUGUUGUCCCUUAUCCAGAAGGGACCCUUCUUGGUUGCCUGCACAACGGCGCCUCUCUCUUCAGUGUUUGGUUUCUUCAGUGGUCAGACGGCUUCUCCGUGUGCGACCCUGUCGUCCACAGAAACCCAUUUCUCAACUCCUUUAAGCCUUUAUUUCAUCCCUGUCCCUUGAGCAACAGGAGCUAUCCGAGAUAGCGGGUGGGGUGUGCCCUCCCUACCCAGCAGGGGCUAAAGGGCUUGCUCCCCUGUGACCCCAGCUCCUGGGCUGGGCUUUGGGUGACUUUUCAAAUUCACAAUGAAUCACUUUUGAACCCUGUUGGGGUCUUCAGUCACCUCUAAUCAGAAGUGUUUAUUUACAAGCCUGUGUGUUUGUGUGUGGGUGCGCUUGCAGCUUGCUUGCUUGUGUGUGUGCACACACACACACACACACACACACACACACACACACACGCACACACACAAACCACGGGAGCAGGAGCCUUCCUCAUCCAUAUCUCACAGGGCCCUCCCCCAUGUAAUACUGCAAGGGCAGUGACACCUGUGAAUGUCACGUCACCAAAUGUCAAAUGUCCACUUCCUAAGCCCCCAACAAAUCCUUUAGUAACAAAACAACAAAACAACAGCACCACCGCCGAAACAACCCAACACCAAGGCUCUGAGGGUGCAGACUGCCUCCCCAGAUAGCAGCCUUUAACCCAGAAGCCGCCGGGCAGUCUUCGGCCUCUGCCUCGCUCACCUGCAACACGAUGCUGCCCCCGCUUGGCGGGUCACAGCAGUUGAACGACCUUGCGGCCGCCAGAUCAGUUUGUCAGGAGCUGGACACUCAGGCAGCAGAAACUAGAAGAACUUUGCUCAGAUAAUUCUGUCAUUUGGAUUUUUUUUUUCCUGCUCUUUUUGAAAUAUCGUUUUGUUUUGUUUUUCUCCAUAGCCAGGUCAUCCUGAUUAGUUCACAGACAAGAAACCCCGGCCAGCCACACAGCUGUCCCAUGAAUAUACACGCUCAUACAUAAUACACAUAUAGUAAGUGCAUACACCAGGUAAAAAUGACAGGAGACUCCCAUAGAAACCUCAGAGCACAGGUGUGCCUGGCUGAGAGGUCCCUCUGCUACAAGCCCCAACCACCCAUAGCUCCUGGUGCAGCCCACAAAUAGGCCAGGAAAGCCGUUGUAGAGUAGUGUCGUCGGCUGCAUCCAUCCAGGCUCCUUCCUCCCGCCAUGCAGGGUGCUCUCCCGAGCCCCCAGCCCACUCAGGUCAUGGCACAGCAGUUGUCUGACUUUGUGGCUAGAGCCCAGCCUCCAGAGAAGUGACCUGCUGUUCCAGGGACCAGCCGGUGCCUCAAUGAGGUAGACCCCUCUCUCUAUGCCCUCCACCCACUUUACUAGACUGUUGACUUAAAGGUGACUCAGACCAGCACUCCUGGACCUGAGGUCACGCAGAGAAGCCCCUGGGCUACGCCAAGUGCCCUUCCCUUAACAGGGAGUUGGCUGCAGGAUAGCCCAGACCGUCCCCCACUGUCCCAGAGCACUCACCCCCAGUCUCAGCGCCUCUCCCUCAGUGCCUCAGUGAGGUAACAGUACUCCGCCAACUAUCAGUGUGCCUUUGCCAUUUAACCCCUGGCAAGGCCAGGGCAAAGGUCACCGAUCCUUGUCCUGACCCCAGCCCACUCCCCUCCAGCCAGCCCCACCUGUUUGCUCAGGACUCGGCACUGUAGUACCUCCUCAAAAGCCUGUCCCUUUGGGCUGCCAGCCAGCUAGAGAAACCUGCUGCAGCCUCCCCAUCACGUACCGGCCUGCCUCUCUGCUCCGGUGCCUCCAGUAACACAGAGCUCCCUCCCCUCGGCAGCCUGCUUGGGGGCUCACGUACUAAGACGCUCCACUCAGCCCUCCCCUGUCUUCUGCAUCAGCCUCCGCGGCUCCACAGCAGCCUGCUUGUGCCUCAGCCCUCAGGUCUUUACAGGAGGCACGCUCCCUCUCUUUAGGCCCUCCCUGUGCUGGAGUGACUAGCAGAACCCCCACCUACUAUGAGGACAGAUUUUGGGGGUUUCUACACUUGUCUUGGGGUCCUUCUCCUUUGGUCCUCUGCACUUAGGACUGAGCCCUUUGCUCUGCUGUCUUUGCAGCAGCCCAGGGGAGGGCCUGGUGCUCCUCUCGGGGUGGGGGCCAGCUGCUCUGUCUCUAGUUGUUAAGCAGCUCUGAGUCCUCUUGGUUCCCCCCCCCCUCUCUCUCAUGGCCCCUUCACCAGUUGCUAAGGAGAAACCUCUCAAUGCAAACCC